rnacentral:rRNA from 1 species
GUGGGGAAUAUUGGACAAUGGGGGGAACCCUGAUCCAGCCAUGCCGCGUGUGUGAAGAAGGCCUUUUGGUUGUAAAGCACUUUAAGUGGGGAGGAGGCUUACCUGGUUAAUACCUAGGCUAAGUGGACGUUACCCACAGAAUAAGCACCGGCUAACUCUGUGCCAGCAGCCGCGGUAAUACAGAGGGUGCGAGCGUUAAUCGGAUUUACUGGGCGUAAAGCGCGCGUAGGUGGCCAAUUAAGUCAAAUGUGAAAUCCCCGAGCUUAACUUGGGAAUUGCAUUCGAUACCGGUUGGCUAGAGUAUGGGAGAGGAUGGUAGAAUUCCAGGUGUAGCGGUGAAAUGCGUAGAGAUCUGGAGGAAUACCGAUGGCGAAGGCAGCCAUCUGGCCUAAUACUGACACUGAGGUGCGAAAGCAUGGGGAGCAAACAGGAUUAGAUACCCCGGUAGUCC